AAUUUAACUUCUAUUUCAGUUUUUAUUUAAAUUUCCAUCAAUCUCUUCUUGACCCAAACAAUUCAGAAAAAUUGAAAUGGAGCCAAGGAAAAAUUCAUUGCCGCCCAAUCAGUGUUUUCCAACAAAAUUUGACUUACCCCUACUUUCUCCUGGUGCUUGGCAAGGAGAUUAAUUUAUUUAUGAAUUUUUCAACUUCACUUUUUAUGUUUUUCUAUAGAAAAAAAUAAACACAACUGGAAAAUAGGUUCCAGCAUAAAUAUAUAUGACAGCUCAUGGAGAGAUAACUUGCUGCUAUUAAUCCUGCUGACUAAUAACAGCAUAAAUUUACCCUGCACAGAGCCUUUCUUCUAAGGUGAAGAACUUGAAAGGAUCACAGAGGAAUUAAUUUAUGAGAACUGAUGGAGUGGAAAGCAUCUCAGCAGAGUCAGCUUGUGUUUGCUGAACUCAGGCUAACAUCACCGAUCGACUUUUUCCACAUACUGAACUGGGCAAAAAAGGAUGAGGCAGACUUCAAUGAAACCUUGGAAAGUUCCUAAGUCUCUGUAUACCCAUCUGAACAGGACAGUCUUCAAAUAUCCUGUGCUAGUAAUUUAAAACACUAAGAGAUAAUCUUGAAAAAUCAAGGAAUUCUCUCCAAGUGUGAAGUCUGUUGUUAGUCUCUGACCUUUUUUUCCAUUGCCCUUGUCUAACAAUGAACCAACUAAAUAAAGCUUUGAACAUUUUUCACCAAUCUGUAAAUGUGAUGUGUUU
rnacentral:lncRNA from 1 species